rnacentral:rRNA from 1 species
ACGGGAGGCAGCAGUGGGGAAUAUUGCACAAUGGGCGCAAGCCUGAUGCAGCGAUGCCGCGUGAGGGAAGAAGGUUUUCGGAUUGUAAACCUCUGUCAACAGGGACGAAAAUGACGGUACCUGUGAAGGAAGCUCCGGCUAACUACGUGCCAGGAGCCGCGGUAAUACGUAGGGGGCAAGCGUUAUCCGGAUUUACUGGGUGUAAAGGGUGCGUAGACGGUUUGGCAAGUCAGAAGUGAAAUCCCGGGGCUUAACUCCGGUGCUGCUUUUGAAACUGUCAGACUAGAGUGCUGGAGGGGCAAGCGGAAUUCCUGGUGUAGCGGUGAAAUGCGUAGAUAUCAGGAGGAACACCGGUGGCGAAGGCGGCUUGCUGGACAGUAACUGACGUUGAGGCACGAAAGCGUGGGGAGCAAACAGGAUUAGAUACCCUGGUA